AGCAAAGCCCUUCCUGCAAUCUCUUUGUCAGUGUUCGAAGUCUCAGCCCUUUUCAUGUAGUCGCCGCAGGGAUCCCUGGGGUGCAGCGGGGAAUGUGGAAGGGAGGCCUAUUUGGUAGGGAAAAUGGCUCCUUGACUCUACCUCUGGUAGGUGGUGGCUGGGCCGAGUGGUAAAUAGACCCUAAAAUGCUCCGCAGCUCUCUCACCCAGUCAGAGCUUUCCCGGCGGAAGCCCCGGAGAAGGCCUGUGGCCUCAGCAGCCAGCGCGCUUGGCUGGCUGGAGCUCCUGCUCUUCUAGGGUUUAGAGGGCCGCGUGGAAGGCAUGUUGGAUAGUGUUUAACGGUAGCCCCAAAGAGGGGGAGAGCCCCGAGGCCGCCCUCCUGUUAACGAGGAGGGAGCCAAGGCCCAGGGCCAGGAAGGUCCUACAAGGAGGUGGGGACGGCGCACGAUUGGAAAUCGGCAUUCUGCAGUCGUCGCCCCCUCCUUGACACACGGAGGAGAGGAGAGGCCAGGGUAACCUGGGUAACACGACUUGGUCUCAGAAUGGGGGCUGGAACCCCUGUCCCCCUCCGUUGCUCCGUGGCAUCUUUCACAUCGACUUCUCUUCAAGCCAUGCAGCACUCUGGAAACGAGCUGUGUAUAUGGAAAGAUGGUCAUCAGAGAAUGGCGGCAGCUUCAGAAAACAUGACUAAUUGUGAUGCACAGAAUGUCUGCUCUGCACUCAAUGAAAUCACCCAGCAUCCAAGCUCAGCGGAAAGUCAUGAGUAGGGACAAUCUCAUGAGAACUCUACAGAGACUCAAGAAAGGAUCUCUAGAGGUGUCAUCCAUAUGUGUGGUUGCGUGGUUACGGCCAUUCCUCUCGGAGAGUCAGCACGGCAUAUGGGGGACUCAUAAUGACUUGAGAGACUCUAUCAUCCAGUGUUUCAGCUAUCCCUCCUACCUUUCCUCUAUUGUCCUAAAAGGAGCAGAAUGGAAGACCUAUGCCUCUAUCUAAGUUACUGAUGAAAUGUAACCUUAGAUGAACUCAAGUAGAUUGGCCUGAAGAACUCCACUGAAAUUCUGCUUCUAAGUGAGCUGCAAACCAUCAGUGACAUGUAUGUAUGUCCAGUCUAAAAAAUUCUG